UGUAGUAGGCUUUUUGAGAAGUAGUCUCAAUAGGAAACAGAUUCUGGAAAUCUUCGAAGCUCUCUUUCUAAAAAGACAGGAGGAACCUCCUGAAGGUUCUCAACUAUUUAAUUAUCCGUUUUGUUUUUAAAGUCAGGAAUGUUAGGAUUAUUUUUUUUCCUCUUUGUUUAGAAGAGAGACCUUGGCUAUACAACAUACUUAAAAUAUGCACACAGAUGUUUGCAGAUGUCUCUCCUUAGCUUUCUUUCCCAAGUAAUUAAAAAGAAGAUCAACAGAACUGAACUGCUGAACAUGAUGCCUUUAAUUUUUAAGUUGUGGAUUGAAUGGCCUUCACAAGUGUUGUAAAUUUCUCAGAAAAAAAAGACCAACAAACAAAAAAAAAAAUAACAAAAAAAAAAAAACUAUUAAGGGAGAAGCAUUUGUUCCUCCCUGCAGUGCUUUGUGGUAGAAAUGAUCUUUGAUCUGUAGCCAGAGUUUGGAGUUGCAUACUCUCCUAAUUACAACAGCUAAAUACAUGUUAUGGUUUAACCUGGCAAGCAGCUAAGCACCAUGCAGCACUUUGUUCACCCCUCCUUCCCUGUGGGAUGGCAGAGAGAAUCAGGAAAAAAAAGAAGAAAAAAAAAUAGAACUCGUGGGUUGAGAUAAAAGCUAUUUACUAAGAAAGAAACGAUGGAGAAAAGGAGAAUAAUAAUAGUAAUAAUAAUACAUAUUUACAAAACAAAUGUUGAACAAAACAUUGCUCGCCACCCACCAACUGAUGCCCAACUAGUUUCGAGGUUGCUCCUCAGUCAAUUCCCCACAAUUUUAGAAGUUUUCUCUCGUGGUGUUAUAUGUUAUGGAAUAUCCCUUUGGCCAGAUUUUGUCAGCUGUCCUGGUUCUGUCCUCUCAGCUCCUCAUGCACCUUCAGCCCUGCUUGUUAACAGGACAAAACAUGAGGUUGAAAUAUCCUUUGAUCUGUACAGCACUGCUCAGCAACAGCUAAAACGUCAGAACGUUAACACCGUGAUUCUCUCGAAGAACAAUACACUGAAUAAGAAAUGAAAAACCAGUAUGCCUCCCAGCUUAAUUGGGGCACUAGAUAAAGUUAUCAGGUUCCAGAUGACGACAAACUGAAGGUACUUUUUCAUGUAAUGCUCAGCUAAAUUACAGAAAUCUUUGCUACAAUAUAUUGUGAAUGACAACAUUUCAGAAAGCUUCUUAAGUGAUUAGAUGUUACAGUAGAAACUAUAGAAACUGUAUUGCACAAAGCACACUGCAGCCUUGAUAAUUCUCCUCCACUGAAUUCAUAGUACCAGUCAUUUUGGAGUCAGAAUAUGAAAAUAUACUGCAUUUUUCUUUUUGACACAUUUAUUCAACAGUAUGUUUCAUACUCAUGUAAUUAUGCACACAGUUUUUCUAGUUUCUAACACACAUGAGCUCUUGAUCAUGCCAAAUAGAAAGUUGUUUGGUGCAGAUUUUAAAAAUAUAUAAGUAACCCUGGCAUUCUCAGGUGUGGAAAAUGCUACCACUCAUUCACUCUUAAUAUUAAAAUACUCAUUCUGCUAAAGUCUGAGCGCUAGCUUCAUAUGAAUCAUCUUCCAUAUGAAUUUUGCAUUUUAUCUUCAGAAAAGCCAGCUAGUCUUCUCAGUUUCAGAUGAUCUCUUUAAAGCAUAAUGAAAAUAUUAUAGGACUUGUAAGGCUUGAAUGCAUGGCUUGUAACUAUGCUACAAUAAAUGAUUAUUUUGGUUCAUUGACAUAGAAUUCUUUUACAUGCAUAAUUUUGCACUUAACAUUUACAUCAUUAAAUCCUAAUGUUCAUUCAAAUAUAUUAUUUAAUGCAAAUGUUUUUCACACGCACAGUCUUUCCAUUUGACUGAAAGAGUUCAGAAGUGCACAUCAUUUAACUCUUCAGUGAUUCAAAUCAAGGAAAAGUGGUUCAAUUCUUUCAUUUUAGUUGAAGUAUGCAUUCUUAUGUCAGGUCUAUCAAUGGUCUUUGUAUGUUUUACCAAAAGAAAAAAAGUUUGCCAUAUUCCCCAUGUUCACAGUAUCACAAGUUGAUUGAGGUUAGGAGGGAGGUCUGAAGAUUAUUUUGUUCCAGGUCUCUGAUGACGCGUGGUCCCCCUGAGCAUGUUACCUGGGACUAUAAGUAGGCGCUUUCUGAAGAUUCCUAAGGAAGGAAACUCCGCAUCCUCAGGACUAUUAGUGCCAUAGUUAAGUCAUCUGAACAGUACAUAAAUGUUCCUGAUGUUCAGAUGGAUCCUCCUGUGUUGCUGUUACUGCUGAUGAUAUUACCUUCUCUAGGCUAAAUAUUUCUCAGCUUUUCCUCACAGUUUGCUUGAGUCCAUUAGUCAUCUUAGUGGCCUUCAGUGGGCAUGAGUAGCUUCUUGUAUCUUGUAGGAACCUAGAACUGGGUGUAGUACUCCAGAUGUGGCCUUACAGAGGAAGAAUCACCUCCCUCAACCUGCUGGCAAUGAUCUUAUUAAUGCAGACCAUGAUACCAUUAAACUUAUUUUCUUCAGGAAUAGAUCGCUGGCUCAUGAUCACCUUGGCAUAAACUGGGGUUUGCAGGCCCUUUUCUGCCAUAUAUAUUUUUUCCACUUUUUCUCUAGUCUUACUUGACUUUAUAUUCAUUGAGAUGAACCUCUCUUGAGCUUAUUACUUGAGGUGAUCCUUAAAUAUUAACCAGAUUUCUUGGGUCCCUCUUCCUUCCAGGUUCUUAGCCCAUGAAACUUGUCCAAACAGUCACAUGAAAAUAUCAAAGUCUAUUUCACUGACUCAAAAGUUUUGGACUUGCUUUUACACUCUGUCUUCUCCUCAGAAUCUUGAAUUCCAAUACCUCAUGAUCAUUUCAGCCCAAGCUACCUUUGGCUUUCAUAUCCCCACUGAAAGCCUCCUUGUUGGUGAGCAUAAGAUCAUAAAGUCAUAGAAUCAUGGAAUCAUAGAAUGGCCUGGGUGGUUAAAGACCUAAAUAUCAUCUAGUUUCAACCCCCCUGCUAGACCAGGCUGCUCAGAGCUGCAUACAGCCUGGCCUUGAAUGCCUCCGGAGAUGGAGCAUCCAUAAUCUCUCUGAUUAACCUGUUCCAGUGUGUCACCAACCUCUGGGUGAAAAACUUCCUCCUAAUAUCCAACUUAAAUCUCUCCUGUCUUAGUUUAAAAUCAUUCCCCUUUGUACUAUCACUAUCAACCCGUGUAAACAGUUGUUCCCCCUCCUGUUUAUAUGUUCUCUACAAGUACUGGAAGGCCACAAUGAGAUCCCCCCAGAGCCUUCUCCUCUCCAAGCUAAACAAACCGUUUCCUCAACCUUUCUUCAUGGGGGAGGUACUCCAGUCCUCUGAUCAUCUUAGUGGCCCUCCAUUGAACCCAUUCCACGAGAUCUGCAUCCAUCCUGUGCUGGGGGCCCCAGGCCAGGCCACAGUACUCCAGAUGGGACCACACAAGAUCUGAGUAGAGGGGAAAAAUCACCUCCCUCUCCUGGCUGGCCACUCCUUUUUUAAUGCAACCCAGCAUAUAGUUGGCCACCUGGGAUCCAGGUGCCAUAAGAUCCAGCAAGGCACCUCUCCUCAUUGGCUUCUCUUUCACUUGGGUGAUGAAUUUGUCACUGACACACUUCAGGAACCUCCUGCAUUGUUCAUGCCCUGUCUUAUCCCUCUAAUAGAUGUGAGAAUAGUUGAAUUUCCCCAUGAAGAUCAGGGCCUGAGGACAUUAGAAUGCUCCCAUCUGUUCAUAGGAGGCCUCAUCUGCUUUUUCUUCCUGAUUAGGUAGCCUGCAGCAAACACCCACUAAAGUGUUACUCUUACAUGUCUUCUCUUUAAUCUUCACAUCUGAGCUCUCAACAGGCUCUUCGUGCAUCCCCGCACGGAGCUGCAUAUAUCUCUACUGUUCUUGUUUAAGAGGCAAUUACAUCUUUUCAUCUUCCUAGCCUGUCUUUUUAAAGAACUUAUGUCUCUUUGUGGCAACACUACUGCUAUGGAGGACUUUCCAUCAUGUCUUCACAAUAUCAGCAGGACUGUAGCCAUGCAGCUGCUCGUAGGUCUCUAAAUCGUGUUCAUUCCCCAUGUCAUGUGUAUUAGGGCACAUACACUUACGAGUGUUAAAAAGUAAACAUUAAUUUUACCGUGUUGUCCAUCUUACAAAACACCACAUACCUUCAUAGUAAUCAGGUGAAACUCAUGCUUUAUUUAUAAUGAUGUUGCUGAAACAAAAUUUUUGACCUAGAAAUCUUUUACAUUUUUAUUUUUUUCUUCUUGUUAUCUUGUUAACAAACUUGUUAAUCUGUUUUUGCAUUCCUUUGCCACGCAAAGGCAUUUAAGUUUGAAUAGAGUGCUGAAGAGAGAAACUGAUUCUAAUGCCAACUCAACUUGAAAAGCUUUGUCCCCAGAAUCUCAGCAUCAGAUUGUCUUUGCUACUCUGGAUACUCUGAAGCACAGCAGUUCACGGGAAUUGGAAAUCUUCAAAAUUAUUAGUCUUUGCUAGGGUCUGGAAAUAUUCAGGAACUCCUGCUCUUGGUGAAGAUAUGGAUGUGAUGAUGGAAGAACCUCCUGUGACCUGGCAGAAUGAAUGCCAUUAGAAAUUUCAGCUCUACAUUUCCUGGCAUGGGGUGACCUUUAUGCAGCUAUAGAGAGUAUUGGGGCAGACAGCAUAGAAAUACAAAUAAAUGAAAACUCUGAUGUAAACGUCAUUUUGCCAUUCUAGAAAAUUAUGCCUUCAUUCAAAUUGAAGUGAAUUGCUUCACUGUUAACUGAAGAGAGCCAAUUUUCUUUCCUCUUAUACUAAUAUAAUAAAUUUCAAAUAAUAAACAAUAUUCAACACUAAAGAAUAACAGCAGAACAUUUGUUAAAAGCUUUCAUAGUUACUAUUUGUGUUGAUGUUUAUUUGUACCUUACUGGACCUUUGUAUAUUCCCUGAGUUUUAGAACAAUUUUCUUGAGAAAACCUUUGAUAUCAACCCUUGAAUCAGUGUUAUGACAGUCUCCUUGAUUUCUUUGACAAGAAAGUGGACUAUAGCAUCUUCUAUCAAGCUAACCGGAAUCUUGUGCUACACCUUGGCUUCAGUUUUCCCAAGAACUUUUUGCAUCCAACAUUAAUGGUGUCCAAAUUAAAUGUCUUGACAGCAGAGCACAACUUAGUUGACUGAAGAUGGGAUCAAAGUUCUUUAAAAAGAAUGACAUUUUGGAAAUGUUUUAUGGUGUUGAAAACUUGUUCUACUCUGAAAUGCGUGCUCAAGUCCUCCAUAUUUUGUCCUUAAAAAUGUUUUCUUUUUUCUACUUUACUUGCUUGAAGUCCAUUACAGAAAGUAAUACAGAGUUUAAUGUUGGUGUUAGUCCUAUUAUCUCUUUCAAAGGGCUGAUUUUAUUACUAGUAUUGAGAUUACUGUGUAUUUUAUCAUUUCUAAAUCUUCUUUUGGUAGAGGGAGAAAAACAAACCUAUGCCAUCUUACUGAAAAAUUUUUCCUUGAAGCAGACCAAAGUUAACAAUUCAAGUAACGGUAAUUCCAGCCCUCUGCUUUUGAUUUGUUUUGUGACAGUAGGGAUAUCAGCAUGGAGUGAAUACAAGAACAACAGAUUUUUGUGAUCAAAAUAUAGUUGGAAGGUUUUGUAUCAUUAUUUUCUCAGCAUAUUUUCAAUGGUACUUUUCACUGUAAAUUAUGUUGCUUGUUUGUUUUCGUAGCCAGAGCACUGUAAAAUAUUUCUGUGAUCAUUCUGAUGCAUAGCUUGUGAAGUCCCUGCAGCAAUACAGCAGUAGCCACUGCUGCUACAUAGACUGCUGCAGAUCUGCUUUGCAUUUGUAAUGUGUGCACACAGUGCAUUUGAACUGUUGCCAAAACUACCUCACAGUUCUACAGAAUGGCUCUUAAAUUAGGACUGUUCCACAGGUCUGCAGCAGUUUUCUUGUGAUGCCGAGUUAGCUGAUCCUUAUAGAGAUGGAGAGUAAUCACUUACUGCAAACUGAGAUAAACUCUCUGCAGUAGCUGAAAGGAACAGCUUAGUUGUGCAAAGAAAUGUUGAUGACAUUUAUUUUUAAAACAAGAAUUUUACUUCUUAGCACUCCUAGGUACAUAAAAUGUGUUCUCUAAUUUGGACUUUAUCUACAAGAAUAUUUGAGUAGAACACCUUCUAAAUAAUUCACAGUUAUAUUUUGCACACUUUGUCAUACUGUUAGUAGUAGUAGUAUCAUUGUUUCAAUUCAGAGAAUCACAUCUAAUGUUCUAGAAAGUAUAACUGACAGUUACAAAAAGAAGCUCUGUUCUAAAUUUUGAAUAACUGCAGAUAAUUUACACAUAAAUAGGAUGAUCUAGGAGAAUACUGUAAUGGAACAUUACUAAUAUUUUUUUAAAUGAAGAGUCUUGGCAUAUUUGCUUAUUUUCAACAUUUGCAAAUGUUAAUGUAAUUAUUAAUAUUUUAUUAGCAAUAUAAAAAUCAAAAUAGGUAAAUUAUUUGUAUAGUAAAUGGGAAUAUCAAUUGUAGUGAAAGAAUAUUAUGUAGAUAAUUAGAUUGCAUGAACAACUAAGUCAUUAUCAGUAUGAGAUGUAACUGCCUACUACUUUUAUGGUCCAGCAUAAAGUAAGAAGAUAACAAGAAUAUGGAAUAAAUUGAAUAAAAAGAAAAUUGAAUAAAUAACAGUAGCAAAAUAGCAGAAAUUUUUAUAUAACGUAAAAAAAGGUCCGGUUGUCAGAAUACAAAGAACCAUUCCUAUGUAGACCUCAAUUAAGAAAAGAUUAAUCCAGAUUAACACCUAUUAGAUCCCAGUGUAAGUAAAAGGCGUAAUAUACUACACAUUUUACCUAUAUGCUAAUGUUGUGUUUCCUGAAAUAAAAAUCCUAAUUCUAUUAAGAAAUGAUAAAUAAAUAUUGGGUGUAAAUGGAAAAUAACACUGAACAUUUGCAGAACAUACAUGAUGUUGGGCAGUCCACAUGAGUAUGUCUUAUAUGUCUUACCGUAUAAGUUUUAUUUGCACUGUGAAGUAAUCCUCUUAUUUCAUCCAAGUGAAGAAUCCACAAUUCUAUCUUAGUGCAAUUCUGAACUUACAUUUCAGUUUAUAGAUAUGAAGAAGGUAACACAUUCUUGUAAGGACUGUGCUACUACAUCUACAUUUGUUUUUAUUUGUGUUACCAUGACAACUUUGAUCAUGAAGGUAUUUCAGAGGUAGCUGUAUAUUUUCCUUCAUUAAUUAACUUAGAAAUGCAUUAUUUUACUGCAUUUGCACUUACUCCACUAGUAGAAAAACAAUAUCUUGAAAAAGAAGACCACAAAGAAAAUAGAAGUAUGUAUGCAAACUCUUUAAGACUAGAAAAAGGACAUGUAGAAAUACAAAGUGAAUUGUGUCCACAUAAAACAUGAACAUUGGCAGAUUGCUUUUUCUUCUUGCCAGUAAAAAGUAAUUCUCAAAGUAAUGACUACUUCUAGGUAGCUGGGCAGUUAUGUGUUUUUCUUCUGACUGUAAUUAUCAUGAAUAUCACUCUGGAUUUAUACAUUCUUCCACUGAUUUUUGAUCACAAAGUUAUUCUUCUACCUGUUUUUUUUUUUUUUUUUUUUUUUUUUAGGAAUAGUAGUAGUAUUUAUUGUUAUUAAAACAAAUUGCUGAAUAUUGUUGUGCUUAUAAUUCAGAAGUUAAUGAAUAUUUCUCUAUGUGAAAUGCUUAUGAAGAGAUCUGAUAUUUUCUUUUUUUUUUAAAUUAUUUUAACAAAUCAGAAGAAGGAUCCAGGGACUGUACUUUUCUAUGUAUAUAUAUACAUAUGUACAAAAAAAAUCAAUUAUUCCCAUAUACAUUGGAUUUAUUAUAUUUCUCCAAAGGAAUUUAAA